rnacentral:rRNA from 1 species
UGGGGAAUAUUGGACAAUGGGCGCAAGCCUGAUCCAGCAAUGCCGCGUGUGUGAAGAAGGCCUUCGGGUUGUAAAGCACUUUUAUCAGGAGCGAAACGCUGUCGGCUAAUACCCGGCGGAACUGACGGUACCUGAGGAAUAAGCACCGGCUAACUUCGUGCCAGCAGCCGCGGUAAUACGAAGGGUGCAAGCGUUAAUCGGAAUUACUGGGCGUAAAGCGUGCGUAGGCGGUUUCUUAAGUCUGCUGUGAAAUCCCCGGGCUCAACCUGGGAAUGGCAGUGGAUACUGGGAGGCUAGAGUGUGUCAGAGGGUGGUGGAAUUCCCGGUGUAGCGGUGAAAUGCGUAGAGAUCGGGAGGAACAUCAGUGGCGAAGGCGGCCACCUGGGACAACACUGACGCUGAGGCACGAAAGCGUGGGGAGCAAACAGGAUUAGAUACCCUGGUAGUCCACGCCCUAAACGAUGCGAACUGGAUGUGUCUCAACUCGGAGAUCAGUGUCGAAGCUAACGCGUUAAGUUCGCCGCCUGGGGAGUACGGUCGCAAGACUGGAAACUCAAAUGAA